UUUCUUUGUCUCUCCCCCCCCCCCCCCCACAAUAAAGCUCUAAAAAGGUAACCAUGGCUAAGAUUCUUUCAAUCAGCACGCUCCUCCGCGGGCACGCUCCUCCGCGGGCAUGGCCGCCGCGGGCGGUGACCAGCCAUGAGGGGCAGCUCGGCGGCAUAACCAACAAUGGUGCCGUGACUCGGAUACACCACCGAACACCGAGGACCUGCUGACUGCUGCUGCUUGCCGCCUCUUCCCCCAUCCAGCGAGACCGCGAGCGCGCGCGCGUCCCUCGCCGCCUCCGCUGGACCCCACACCGCCACCGCCAUGAUUCUUCACCACAUUUCCUGUUCUAACUCACUGUUCAGCUAAUGGUACAGGACCACCACAGAACCGGAGACCAGAGAUCAUCAAAUAAAAAACUGCAACAGCUAAAAGGUAUUUACACCCCCAGACCCAAAAGCGUCUGGGCGCUACAAAAAGACUUUAAUGUAAACAUCUAUUACUAUGAGAUGCUUUUAACAAUUGAUCUCCUGUCUCCUAGAUGCUGAACCAGUAAAGGAAACAGGUACUUUAAAAUAAUCUGUCUCUGAUAAAGCUUAACAUGUUUCAAAAUCCAUAGGGACAGGCCAGAUCUACCUCAGAUAAAUGUCAACAUAAAAUAAUAAUGAUUCUUUUCUCUCUCUAAGUUUUUUCUGUGUCACCAGCAUCUUGUCAAACAGAAAGUUCCCAGCCACAGCCAA